rnacentral:rRNA from 1 species
CACCGCCCGUCACACCAUGGGAGUUGGUUUCACCCGAAGGCAGUGCGCUAACCGCAAGGAGGCAGCUGACCACGGUGGGAUCAGCGGCUGGGGUG